rnacentral:rRNA from 1 species
CAGCAGCACGGGAAUACGAGGGGGGCAAGCGUUGUUCGGAAUUAUUGGGCGCAAAGGGUGCGCAGGCGGCUUGACAAGUCUUGUGUGAAAUCUAUGGGCUCAACCCAUAGUCUGCACGGGAAACUGUCGGGCUUGAGAAUGGGAGAGGUGAGUGGAAUUUCCGGUGUAGCGGUGAAAUGCGUAGAUAUCGGAAGGAACACCUGUGGCGAAAGCGGCUCACUGGACCAUUUCUGACGCUGAUGCACGAAAGCUAGGGGAGCAAACAGGAUUAGAUACCCCCGUAGUCCCUGUCUCUUAUACA